rnacentral:lncRNA from 1 species
CAAAAAGGGUUUUUGUGAGUUCUUAAUGUUGUGUAUAAGUUGGUUUAGUAUUUUUGGUUUGUUGGCCUCUUCCUUUUAUUUCUAGUAACCUGAAUAAUGAUGGUAUAAUUUAAUUAUGGUGGCCUAGUUUUGGAGUUAGUUUUGUAUCUUUGAACUGGUUGUCUUGUUAGUUUUUGUGAAAUGUAACUGUCAAUGUAUAGAAGAAGAUGGCCAAGAAAGAAAGAUUAUGAGUUUGUUGGACUAUUAUAUCCUUGAAACAUCUCGAUUAAGUGCAUAAGUUAUAGGAUCAAAUGAAUUGAUAAAAAAUCAGUCUUUUGGAAGGUUUUGCGUUAAAUAGAGGGCAUUCUGUUUUGAUUUUUUUUCUCCGAACCUGCCCUCGUUGAAUAUCCUGAGUGAUGAUUUUCUUUUCUUAACUAAGCAUUCGGUCCUAGGUCCCGGUUUACUGGUUCUCAGUGUAUCAAUAUAGUUAGUAGUAUCUAACAUGAAUGACAAGGCAAUCACUUUUCC